ACAUGCAGUCGACGGCAGCACGGGGGCAACCCUGGUGGCGAGUGGCGAACGGGUGAGUAAUGCAUCGGAACGUGCCCUGAAGUGGGGGAUAACGUAGCGAAAGUUACGCUAAUACCGCAUAUUCUGUGAGCAGGAAAGCAGGGGAUCGCAAGACCUUGCGCUUUAGGAGCGGCCGAUGUCGGAUUAGCUAGUUGGUGGGGUAAAAGCUCACCAAGGCGACGAUCCGUAGCGGGUCUGAGAGGAUGAUCCGCCACACUGGGACUGAGACACGGCCCAGACUCCUACGGGAGGCAGCAGUGGGGAAUUUUGGACAAUGGGCGCAAGCCUGAUCCAGCCAUGCCGCGUGAGUGAAGAAGGCCUUCGGGUUGUAAAGCUCUUUCGGCGGGGAAGAAAUUGCACUCUCUAAUACAGGGUGUAGAUGACGGUACCCGCAUAAGAAGCACCGGCUAACUACGUGCCAGCAGCCGCGGUAAUACGUAGGGUGCGAGCGUUAAUCGGAAUUUACUGGGCGUAAAGCGUGCGCAGGUGGUUGUGUAAGUCAGAUGUGAAAUUCCCCGGGCUCAACCUGGGAACUGCAUUUGAGACUGCACGGCUAGAGGAUGGCAGAGGGGGGUAGAAUUCCACGUGUAGCAGUGAAAUGCGUAGAGAUGUGGAGGAAUACCGAUGGCGAAGGCAGCCCCCUGGGCUAUUUCUGACACUCAUGCACGAAAGCGUGGGGAGCAAACAGGAUUAGAUACCCUGGUAGUCCACGCCCUAAACGAUGUCAACUAGAUGUUGGAAGGGUUAAACCUUUUAGUGUCGUAGCUAACGCGUGAAGUUGACCGCCUGGGGAGUACGGCCGCAAGGCUAAAACUCAAAGGAAUUGACGGGGACCCGCACAAGCGGUGGAUGAUGUGGAUUAAUUCGAUGCAACGCGAAAAACCUUACCUACCCUUGACAUGUCAGGAAUCCCGGAGAGAUUUGGGAAGUGCUCGAAAGAGAACCUGAACACAGGUGCUGCAUGGCUGUCGUCAGCUCGUGUCGUGAGGUGUUGGGUUAAGUCCCGCAACG
rnacentral:rRNA from 1 species